rfam:Otolemur garnettii contig139324, whole genome shotgun sequence.
GGAUGUGAGGGUGAUCUGGCUGUGACAUCUAUCACCCCAUUGAUUGCCAGGGUUGAUUCAGCUAUUCUGACUGGCUAGGAGGGUGUCCCCUUCCUCCCUCGCCACUUCAUGUGAGUCCCUCCUGAAGCUUCACCCUUGGUCAAAGAGGACGAUCUUCACUGAUAGAGGAGGACUGUUCUUUGGUCAAGGGUAUAUGAGUAGCUAUGCUCCCCUGCUAGAACCUCCAAACAAGCUUUCAAAGUCCAAUAAAUUUAAUAACUUACAUGACAUGUACAAAUGCCCUUAAAAACUGUCAAAGCUGGGGGGGGGGGAAGACAGCUGACACAUAUCAGCCUC